GUCGAGGCGGUGGCCAAUGCCGUUCCGCAGGUCGAGGCGGUGCCCGAUGUUGUUCCAGAGACCGAGGUGGUGCCCGAGUUGCUUCCAGAGACCGAGGCGGUGCCCGAUGCGCAGGCCGAGGUCGUUCCCGAGGCGGUGCCCGAUGCGCAGGCCGAGGUCGUUCCUGAGGUGGUGCCCGAUGCAGAGAUCGUUCCCGAGGCGGUGUCCUUGUCCAAGGCCGUUCCCGAGGCCGUGCCCGAGGCCGUUCCCGAGGCGGGGGCCUUGUCCAAUGUCGUUCCUGAGGCCGUUCCUGAGGUCGUUCCUGAGACCGUUCCCGAGGCGGUGUCCUGGUCCGAUGCCGUUCCUGAGGCCGUUCCUGAGGCCAUUCCAGAGGCGGUGGCCGAUGCUGUUCCGGAGGCCGAUGCGGGGCCCAGGAUGGCUCCGGAGGCGAUACCCGUGUCCAAGGCCGUUCCCGAGGCGGUGCCCUUGUCUGAGGUCGUUCCUGAUGCCGUUCCCAAUGCCGUGACCGGGCCAUCGCCACAGCCUGCUCCUUACUGGCUCCCCGAUUGGCAGGUUCCGUUCGGGCCACUCAAAUGGCGAAUUCCUCCCUGGCCGUCUGCACAACGAGAAUGGACUGAUCCACCGUGGCCACCUGAACUGCCUGGCCCCUCGUGGUCCCCUGAACUUUCGGGUCCACCGUGGCCACCUGAACUGCCUGGUCCCUCGUGGUCCCCUGAACUUUCGGGUCCACCGUGGCCACCUGAACUGCCUGGUCCCUCGUGGUCCCCUGAACUUUCGGGUCCACCAUGGCGCCCUGAUCUGACCGAGCCACCUGGGCUACCAGGGGAGCCAUCGCUGCCGGUCCCAGUUCCCCUACACGGGCCUGGCCCGCCAUCCCUCCCCC
ensembl:lncRNA